rnacentral:lncRNA from 1 species
GGACAAGGGAGAGUCACUUGGGGAAGCACAAUGUUCUAGAACCUGGAGGACAAAAGAAAGGCACGAUGAGGGAGAAGCCCUUCAAUCAGCAAAGCAGGGCUGGAACACAGCAGGCAAGAACAACACUGACAAGAGAUGGGUCUGAGAAACUCAGCAAGGCCUGGGCCAUGGAUGAUCCUGAGUCCAAGCUGAGGAGUUUGUUAUUUUUAUAUUUAGGGCACUGAGAAGCUACGGGAAUUUUUUAUCCAGAGAAUAACAUGAUCAGGGUGCCUCUUGUGGCACAGGAGGAGGGAUGAGGGAAGGAGAGAUGCUACGUAGGAAGACUGUCAAGGAACUGUUGUAAUGGCUCAGAAGAACCAGCUUGUCUCAAAGGUCCUUCUCAGCUGUCACUUGUAUGGAAACAACAGGGAGGAAGGCCUUCCAGUGGCGAAUCAAGGGGGCCUUCCACCCCCAUCAAGGAGGUAGCUCUGGGCUAAGCAGUCCUCGGGUGUCAGCAGGAGGCUGUGCAGAUGAAAGCAAUGGAAGUGAUGGGAAACAUAGAGGAGAUGGCAUGGCCUCUGUCCCCUUCCUCACCAGUGCCUUGGAUAAGUGUGAUGUCCCAGAAGAGCAAGAACAUAGGAGAGAAGCCAAAGAAGAUGCUCAGGCUGUGUGGAAAUUAGUGUCCAGGCAGUCUGGCUUUGUUAUCCUGGUCAUUGCAGUGGCACAGAAUCAGGAGAGAAUCUUCAUUCCCCAACUCCACCAAAGGCUGCCAUGUUCCUCUGCUGUUCUGUUUGUGCAGGGUUGCCAGAAGGUAAGGGCAUGACAAGAGAGCUGAAAUCUCAAAAAGAACAUGGAAAACAGUAGGAAAGACUUUUGUAGUGGAAGCCAGAGCAGAUAAACAAGGGCAGAAUUUUUAUGAGCAUCUAUAAGCCAGGGGAGAGAAUCUAUCUGAAGGAUUCAAAUCCACAAAAUAUGAAUAUAAGUAUUAAUAUGAUUCUGUUGAUAGCUAUAGGCUGGUAAAAUACUUGACACAUUUGGAUUUCACAAAGUCUGUACCCUCACAAUGUUAGAGCCCCAGACCAGCGAUUCUCAAACUUUCUAUAGUGAAGGAAGAGUUGUCUGUGGGGACACUGUUGUUAUUAAUUCCCAAUUCAUCAUGGACCAUUACAUGGAUGACUGCAUGUGACUACAACAUGGUUCACGCCACCUGAAACUCAUCACUCACUUUCAACAGCACUCAAACUUGUCUGUACCCCUGUUCAACAAGGAUAGUCCUUGAAUAAGCAUGAUUGGAUGUCUCAGCAAUGCCAAAUUUCUAUAAAAGAU